rnacentral:lncRNA from 1 species
UGCUUCACCAUAUUGGCUGGUCUCCAUCCCUAGAUCUAAUGAGAACAAUUGCAGAAUAAGUUAUCCCACACUAUAACCAUUUUUCGAACCCCAGAAAGUGAUUUAGAUCGUUUAGAAAAGGACGAUAUAGUUCAAUAUGAGCAAAGAUGAGCAAAGAGAUGCACCCGAGAUGGCUCGAGAGGAAGAAGAUAAUUUGGGGGAAAAAAUUGGAGUCAAC